rnacentral:rRNA from 1 species
ACUUAUAUCUCACUGUAGGUCUGACCUGGUUUCCCACUGAAGCUAAGCAGGCUUGAGCCUGGGUAGUGCCUGGAUGGGAGACUUCCUGGGGGGAAAACUAAGGAGGUAUUAGUG